AUUGCCUCAGUACGGCGAGUGAGCGGCAAAAGCUCAAAUUUGAAAUCUGCGUAAGCCGAGUUGUAAUUUGAAGAUGGCUACUUUGGUAAUGGCUCUUGUCUAUGUUCCUUGGAACAGGACGUCACAGAGGGUGAGAAUCCCGUGCGAUGAGAUGUCCAUUACCGUGUAAAGUGCUUUCGAAGAGUCGAGUUGUUUGGGAAUGCAGCUCUAAGUGGGUGGUAAAUUCCAUCUAAAGCUAAAUAUUGGCGAGAGACCGAUAGCGAACAAGUACAGUGAUGGAAAGAUGAAAAGAACUUUGAAAAGAGAGUGAAAAAGUACGUGAAAUUGUUGAAAGGGAAGGGCUUGAGAUCAGACUUGGUAUUUUGUAUGGCUUGCUUUCGGGCGGGUCCUCUGCAGUUUACUGGGCCAGCAUCGGUUUGGGUGGCAGGAUAAUAGCAUAGGAAUGUGGCUCUACUUCGGUGGAGUGUUAUAGCCUUUGUUGAUACUGCCUGCCUAGACCGAGGACUGCGUCUUUUGACUAGGAUGCUGGCAUAAUGAUCCUAAGCCGCCCGUCUUGAAACCACGGACCA
rnacentral:rRNA from 1 species